AACUAACGCUGGCGGCGUGCCUAACACAUGCAAGUCGAACGAGAAAGUUGGCUUCGGCCGAUGAGUAAAGUGGCGCACGGGUGAGUAACGCGUGGAUAAUCUGCCCUUUAGUUUGGAAUAACGUACCGAAAGGUGCGCUAAUACCGGAUAAUACUGAAUGACUACUGUUGUUUAGUCAAAGAAGGCUUCUGUUUACAUGCUUUUGCUGAAGGAUGAGUCCGCGUACCAUUAGCUAGUUGGUAGGGUAAUGGCCUACCAAGGCGACGAUGGUUAGCUGGUCUGAGAGGAUGAUCAGCCACACUGGAACUGAGACACGGUCCAGACUCCUACGGGAGGCAGCAGUGAGGAAUAUUGCGCAAUGGGGGGCAACCCUGACGCAGCAACGCCGCGUGAGUGAGGAAGGUUUUCGGACCGUAAAGCUCUGUCGAGCGGGAAGAAAUGCAUGGUGGCUAAUAUCCAUCAUGCUUGACGGUACCGCUAAAGGAAGCACCGGCUAACUCC
rnacentral:rRNA from 1 species